GACGAACGCUGGCGGCGUGCUUAACACAUGCAAGUCGAGCGGUAAGGCCCUAACUUGUUGGGGUACACGAGCGGCGAACGGGUGAGUAACACGUGAGUAAUCUGCCCUUCACUCUGGGAUAAGCUUCGGAAACGGGGUCUAAUACCGGAUAUGACGCACCCACGCAUGUGGUGUGUGUGGAAACUUUUUGUGGGUGGGGGAUGUGCUCGCGGCCUAUCAGCUUGUUGGUGGGGUAAUGGCCUACCAAGGCUUCGACGGGUAGCCGGCCUGAGAGGGUGACCGGUCACACUGGGACUGACGACACGGCCCAGACACCUACGGGUGGCUG
rnacentral:rRNA from 1 species